rnacentral:tRNA from 1 species
GGCGGUGUAGUGCAGUGGUUUAGCAUCUCCUCCCCCCAUCCAGAGGCUGGAUAACGGUGCUAUCUGGGGAAGAGGAUGACCUUGGUUCGAAUCCGAGCUCCGCCA